rnacentral:rRNA from 1 species
AGACCCGAAACCCGGUGAUCUAGCCAUGGGCAGGUUGAAGGUUGGGUAACACUAACUGGAGGACCGAACCGACUAAUGUUGAAAAAUUAGCGGAUGACCUGUGGCUGGGGGUGAAAGGCCAAUCAAACCGGGAGAUAGCUGGUUCUCCCCGAAAGCUAUUUAGGUAGCGCCUCGUGAAUUCAUCUCCGGGGGUAGAGCACUGUUUCGGCUAGGGGGCCAUCCCGGCUUACCAACCCGAUGCAAACUGCGAAUACCGGAGAAUGUUAUCACGGGAGACACACGGCGGGUGCUAACGUCCGUCGUGAAGAGGGAAACAACCCAGACCGCCAGCUAAGGUCCCAAAGUCAUGGUUAAGUGGGAAACGAUGUGGGAAGGCCCAGACAGCCAGGAUGUUGGCUUAGAAGCAGCCAUCAUUUAAAGAAAGCGUAAUAGCUCACUGGUCGAGUCGGCCUGCGCGGAAGAUGUAACGGGGCUAAACCAUGCACCGAAGCUGCGGCAGCGACACUCAGGUGUUGUUGGGUAGGGGAGCGUUCUGUAAGCCUGCGAAGGUGGCCUGUGAGGGUUGCUGGAGGUAUCAGAAGUGCGAAUGCUGACAUAAGUAACGAUAAAGCGGGUGAAAAGCCCGCUCGCCGGAAGACCAAGGGUUCCUGUCCAACGUUAAUCGGGGCAGGGUGAGUCGACCCCUAAGGCGAGGCCGAAAGGCGUAGUCGAUGGGAAACGGGUUAAUAUUCCCGUACUUGGUGUUACUGCGAAGGGGGGACGGAGAAGGCUAUGUUGGCCGGGCGACGGUUGUCCCGGUUUAAGCGUGUAGGUGUGUGUUCCAGGUAAAUCCGGUUCACUUUAACACUGAGGCGUGACGACGAGGCACUACGGUGCUGAAGCAACAAAUGCCCUGCUUCCAGGAAAAGCCUCUAAGCAUCAGGUAACAUCAAAUCGUACCCCAAACCGACACAGGUGGUCAGGUAGAGAAUACCAAGGCGCUUGAGAGAACUCGGGUGAAGGAACUAGGCAAAAUGGUGCCGUAACUUCGGGAGAAGGCACGCUGACAUGUAGGUGAAGUGAUUUACUCAUGGAGCUGAAGUCAGUCGAAGAUACCAGCUGGCUGCAACUGUUUAUUAAAAACACAGCACUGUGCAAACACGAAAGUGGACGUAUACGGUGUGACGCCUGCCCGGUGCCGGAAGGUUAAUUGAUGGGGUCAGCGCAAGCGAAGCUCCUGAUCGAAGCCCCGGUAAACGGCGGCCGUAACUAUAACGGUCCUAAGGUAGCGAAAUUCCUUGUCGGGUAAGUUCCGACCUGCACGAAUGGCGUAAUGAUGGCCAGGCUGUCUCCACCCGAGACUCAGUGAAAUUGAACUCGCUGUGAAGAUGCAGUGUACCCGCGGCAAGACGGAAAGACCCCGUGAACCUUUACUAUAGCUUGACACUGAACAUUGAGCCUUGAUGUGUAGGAUAGGUGGGAGGCUUUGAAGUGUGGACGCCAGUCUGCAUGGAGCCGACCUUGAAAUACCACCCUUUAAUGUUUGAUGUUCUAACGUGGACCCGUGAUCCGGGUUGCGGACAGUGUCUGGUGGGUAGUUUGACUGGGGCGGUCUCCUCCUAAAGAGUAACGGAGGAGCACGAAGGUUGGCUAAUCCUGGUCGGACAUCAGGAGGUUAGUGCAAUGGCAUAAGCCAGCUUGACUGCGAGCGUGACGGCGCGAGCAGGUGCGAAAGCAGGUCAUAGUGAUCCGGUGGUUCUGAAUGGAAGGGCCAUCGCUCAACGGAUAAAAGGUACUCCGGGGAUAACAGGCUGAUACCGCCCAAGAGUUCAUAUCGACGGCGGUGUUUGGCACCUCGAUGUCGGCUCAUCACAUCCUGGGGCUGAAGUAGGUCCCAAGGGUAUGGCUGUUCGCCAUUUAAAGUGGUACGCGAGCUGGGUUUAGAACGUCGUGAGACAGUUCGGUCCCUAUCUGCCGUGGGCGCUGGAGAACUGAGGGGGGCUGCUCCUAGUACGAGAGGACCGGAGUGGACGCAUCACUGGUGUUCGGGUUGUCAUGCCAAUGGCACUGCCCGGUAGCUAAAUGCGGAAGAGAUAAGUGCUGAAAGCAUCUAAGCACGAAACUUGCCCCGAGAUGAGUUCUCCCUGAGACUUUAGGUCUCCUGAAGGAACGUUGAAGACGACGACGUUGAUAGGCCGGGUGUGUAAGCGCAGCGAUGCGUUGAGCUAACCGGUACUAAUGAACCGUGAGGCUUAACCUUACAACGCCGAA